rnacentral:rRNA from 1 species
AGCUCCAAUAGCGUAUAUUAAAGUUGUUGCAGUUAAAAAGCUCGUAGUUGGAUCUGAGGACUGGAGUCGGUGGUGCGAUAACAUCGCAACUGCUGACUCCGCCUACACAGACGGUGCUUGGCCCUGGUGCUCUUAACUGAGUGCCUUGGCUGCCCGUCAAGUUUACUUUGAAAAAAUUAGAGUGCUCAAAGCAGGCCAUUUGCUUGAAUAUUGGUGCAUGGAAUAAUGGAAUAGGACUUCGGUUCUAUUUUGUUGGUUUUCGGAAGCCGAGGUAAUGAUUAAGAGAGACAGACGGGGGCAUUCGUAUUGUGGUGUUAGAGGUGAAAUUCUUGGAUCGCCGCAAGACGAACAACUGCGAAAGCAUUUGCCAAGCAUGUUUUCA